GGGGUUGGAAGGUUUCGACGCGCUGUAAGACCGCACGCGGAGUCAGCGCGGACAGGGGUUCAAUUCCCCUCAACUCCACAA
rnacentral:tmRNA from 1 species